UGGGGAAUUUUGGACAAUGGGGGGAAACCCUGAUCCAGCCAUCCCGCGUGUGCGAUGAAGGGCCUUCGGGUUGUAAAGCACUUUUGGCAGGAAAGGAAACGUCGCGGGUUAAUACCCCGCGGAACUGACGGUACCUGCAGAAUAAGCACCGGCUAACUACGUGCCAGCAGCCGCGGUAAUACGUAGGGUGCAAGCGUUAAUCGGAAUUACUGGGCGUAAAGCGUGCGCAGGCGGUUCGGAAAGAAAGAUGUGAAAUCCCAGAGCUUAACUUUGGAACUGCAUUUUUAAACUACCGGGCUAGAGUGUGUCAGAGGGAGGUGGAAUCCGCGUGUAGCAGUGAAAUGCGUAGAUAUGCGGAGGAACACCGAUGGCGAAGGCAGCCUCCUGGGAUAACACUGACGCUCAUGCACG
rnacentral:rRNA from 1 species